rnacentral:rRNA from 1 species
UACGUAGGGUGCAAGCGUUGUCCGGAAUUAUUGGGCGUAAAGGGCUCGUAGGCGGUCCAUCGCGUCGGGAGUGAAAAGCUGGGGCUUAACCCCAGUCCUGCUUCCGAUACGGGUGGACUAGAGGUAGGUAGGGGAGAACGGAAUUCCUGGUGUAGCGGUGAAAUGCGCAGAUAUCAGGAGGAACACCGAUGGCGAAGGCAGCUCGCUGGGACGGUACUGACGCUGAGACGCGAAAGCGUGGGGAGCAAACAGG